CCUACGGGAGGCAGCAGUGAGGAAUAUUGGUCAAUGGACGAGAGUCUGAACCAGCCAAGUAGCGUGAAGGAUGACUGCCCUCUGGGUUGUAAACUUCUUUUAUAUGGGAAUAAAAUGUUCCACGUGUGGGAUUUUGUAUGUACCAUAUGAAUAAGGAUCGGCUCACUCCGUGCCAGCAGCCGCGGUAAUACGGAGGAUGCGAGCGUUGUCCGGAUUUAUUGGGUUUAAAGGGAGCGUAGGCGGAUUGUUAAGUCAGUUGUGAAAGUUUGUGGCUCAACCGUAAAAUUGCAGUUGAAACUGGCAGUCUUGAGUACAGUAGAGGUGGGCGGAAUUCGUGGUGUAGCGGUGAAAUGCUUAGAUAUCACGAAGAACUCCGAUGGCGAAGGCAGCUAACUGGACUGCAACUGACACUGAGGCUCGAAAGUGUGGGUAGCAAACAGGAUUAGAUACCCUGGUAGUC
rnacentral:rRNA from 1 species